GGUUCAUUCAAAUUUCUGCCCUAUCAAACUUUCGAUGGUAGGAUAGUGGCCUACCAUGGUAUCAACGGGUAACGGGGAAUUAGGGUUCUAUUCCGGAGAGGGAGCCUGAGAAACGGUACCACUAUCCAAGGAAGGCAGCAGGCGCGCAAAUUACCCAAUCCCGACACGGGGAGGUAGUGACAAUAAAUACUGAUACAGGGCUCUUUUGGGUCUUGUAAAUUGGAAUGAGAACAAUUUUAAAUCCCUUUAAACGAGGAACAAUUGGAGGGCAAAGUCUGGUUGCCAGCAGCCGGGUAAAUUGCCAGCUCCAAUAGCGUAUAUUAAAGUUGUUGCAGUUAAAAAGCUCGUAGUUGAACCUUGGGCCUUGGCUGGCCGGGUCCGCCUCACCGGUGGCACUGGUCCGGCCGGGCCUUUCCUUCUGGGGAGCCGAUGCCCUUCACUGGGUGUGUCGGGGAACCAGGACUUUUACUUUGAAAAAAUUAGAGUGUUCAAAGCAGGCCUUUGCUCGGGAUACAUUAGCAUGGAA
rnacentral:rRNA from 1 species